UUCUGCAAUCUAAAUGUUGAGGAAGCGCCUUUGCUAAUUUUCUCUAAUCGCAAAAGCUAAGCUGGGUUGGGCCUGGUUAGUGUAUGGAUGGGACACCACUUGGGAACACAAAACACUGUAGGCU
rnacentral:rRNA from 1 species